AUUGAACGCUGGCGGCAUGCCUUACACAUGCAAGUCGAACGGUAACGCGGGGCAACCUGGCGACGAGUGGCGAACGGGUGAGUAAUGCAUCGGAACGUGCCCAGUAGUGGGGGAUAGCCCGGCGAAAGCCGGAUUAAUACCGCAUACGACCUAUGGGUGAAAGCGGGGGAUCGAAAGACCUCGCGCUAUUGGAGCGGCCGAUGUCAGAUUGGGUUGUUGGUGGGGUAAAAGCCUACCCAGCCUGCGAUCUGUAGCUGGUCUGAGAGGACGACCAGCCACACUGGGACUGAGGAACGGGCCAGACUCCUACGGGAGGCAGCAGUGGGGAAUUUUGGACAAUGGGCGCAAGCCUGAUCCAGCCAUGCCGCGUGCGGGAAGAAGGCCUUCGGGUUGUAAACCGCUUUUGUCGGGGAAGAAAUCUUCUGGGCUAAUACCUUGGGAGGAUGACGGUACCCGAAGAAUAAGCACCGGCUAACUACGUGCCAGCCGCCGCAGUAA
rnacentral:rRNA from 1 species